GUUAUGUAAAGUUUUUGUUAUGUUAAGUUUUUCAGUGCCAUUGACUUCCAUUAUUUCUCGGCGUUUUGCUUCAGUUUUCAGUCCAUAAUGGCGGCCGUGCCGUCACGUCAUGGGGGCAACUGUUGCUAUGGUGCGUUCAAUUGAGUUUCGCCUCUUGGCUUCUAUACUCUUUGAUGUUACGAAUAGAGACCCUAUCUGGGACGUUAUAGAGUGCCGAAGUUAUGACGUCACUUUGUAGGCCAAAACGCGGAAGUGAGUUAGCAUUUUAGCACCUCCGGUUCCCUCGCCCUAAAGUCUAUGGGUUUUUUGAAUGGGUUUUUGCUAAAUCGCCUGAAAUAAGGUCUGUGGUUAACAAAGCCUCUAAAUAUUUUCACGUUUUGAUCUAUGACAUAAAACACACCAGUUAUAACCUGCUUGUGAUUUUUUUUAACUUUAUUGUGUCUUAAGAACGGUGGUUGCUAACAAGUUGCUAAAAGGGACUACAUCCUUGGGCGGGGACUUUAGACGUCAUCAUGACAAACAGGAAAUCUCUCACUAACCCGCGUUUCAGCCUCAUUUAGUCUUUUCAAAUUGUAGUUUUUCCAAAUAUUGUUGUACACAGAAUUCUGUGAUAUUAAGGUAACCGAUUAUCAGUUCUUUAUUUCUGUGGAGAGACUGUAGUUCGACAAUGGUGUUUUGUUUUGUCCCGAGAUGCAACCUCAAGUCGUCGAAUGAAAGAUGCUCGUUUUACCGUUUUCCGUCCGGUUACCCAGCGGAGACUCUGGGUUCGUGCUGUAAGACGAGCUGACCGGAAGCCCAGUGUCCAUUCUCGCAUCUGCAGCUGUCAUUUUCCUGCAGGGGAAAAAAAUGCCCCUGUUUUGUUUUUAGUUACCAAACGGAAGUUGUUUUCAGUUUACUUAUUUUAUGAAAAUAAAGAUGUUUACUACAACUCUUGCUGUAAGGUUUCUGUGGCUCAAUUAUUAGAGCAUUUUGUUAACUGUGCAAAAGGUUGCGAGUUCAAUUCCCAGAGAACACGCUGAUAUGUAUAGCCUGAAUACACUGUAUGUCGCCUGUCUGACAAAUACCAAAAAUUAAAUGUUAAACCAGUGCUUCCCAAACCUGUCCUGGAGGACCCCCAAUCCUAGUUUUACUUACCGAGACUCGAUAAACCUUGUCUCUCAUGCUGGGCCUUACAAUACCGGUAAGUAAACCAGCAUCUAAGCUGCACUGUUCUACAUGUCCAGAUUUAUAGUGGUUCUCUCCUCAAUCUAUGGUUUUUCUAGCGUCUAAGAAAAAGGACAUAAGAUUGGAAAUUGAUACGGCCAUAGCUAACGUUAGUGCUUCUGAGAUAGUAAAAGCGAGUUUUUUUUUUUUUUUUUCUGGCGAAUUAGCAAAUGGUAUGCAAACAUACAAUCAAACAUAAUACAGUGAAAGAUAAUCUUUAAAAUUUAUUUGGGGCACAAUGAUCAGGCAUAAUCUUAAUCACAAAGAAAAUAAUAUUAAGGUUUAUAUAAACUAACAAAAUAAUAAACGAAUAAAUAAAACAUUAAACA
ensembl:lncRNA